UGGGGUAUGGUGUAAUUGGCAACACUACAGAUUCUGGUCCUGUCUUUCCUGGUUCGAGUCCGGGUACCCCAACUA
rnacentral:tRNA from 1 species